rnacentral:rRNA from 1 species
ACGCUGGCGGCAGGCUUAACACAUGCAAGUCGAACGGUAACAUAAAGAAGCUUGCUUCUUUGAUGACGAGUGGCGGACGGGUGAGUAAUGCUUGGGAAUCUAGCUUAUGGAGGGGGAUAACUAUGGGGAAACUGUGGCUAAUACCGCGUAGAAUCGAGAGAUGAAAGUGUGGGACCUUCGGGCCACAUGCCAUAGGAUGAGCCCAAGUGGGAUUAGGUAGUUGGUGAGGUAAAGGCUCACCAAGCCGACGAUCUCUAGCUGGUCUGAGAGGAUGACCAGCCACACUGGGACUGAGACACGGCCCAGACUCCUACGGGAGGCAGCAGUGGGGAAUAUUGCGCAAUGGGGGCAACCCUGACGCAGCCAUGCCGCGUGAAUGAAGAAGGCCUUCGGGUUGUAAAGUUCUUUCGGUAGCGAGGAAGGCAUUUAGUUUAAUAGACUAGGUGAUUGAACGUUAACUACAGAAGAAGC